GCCUUAGGGAAUAUCUACACU
rnacentral:miRNA from 1 species